GACGAACGCUGGCGGCGUGCUUAACACAUGCAAGUCGAACGCUGAAGCUUGGUGCUUGCACUGGGUGGAUGAGUGGCGAACGGGUGAGUAAUACGUGAGUAACCUGCCCUUGACUCUGGGAUAAGCCUGGGAAACUGGGUCUAAUACUGGAUACGACAUGUCACCGCAUGGUGGUGUGUGGAAAGGGUUUUACUGGUUUUGGAUGGGCUCACGGCCUAUCAGCUUGUUGGUGGGGUAAUGGCUCACCAAGGCGACGACGGGUAGCCGGCCUGAGAGGGUGACCGGCCACACUGGGACUGAGACACGGCCCAGACUCCUACGGGAGGCAGCAAUGGGGAAUAUUGCACAAUGGGCGGAAGCCUGAUGCAGCGACGCCGCGUGAGGGAUGACGGCCUUCGGGUUGUAAACCUCUUUCAGCACGGAGGAAGCGAAAGUGACGGUACGUGCAGAAGAAGCGCCGGCUAACUACGUG
rnacentral:rRNA from 1 species